CCCAAUCUUUGUAAUCACUUCUAACAUAUUUUUGUAUCUGGAUGUUAUAAACUGCAUGCAACCGCUACAACAUUCAGCUUUUUUUGGCAUCGACCAAUUGCAAGAAACUAUUGUUGCAGUUGCAAAAUCUUCUCUGCAUGUGAAGAGAAUCAGGCUAAUUAGCACAUUGAUUUUUUUUUCUUGAUUAACUUUUCUUGACCUAAUCUAAAACUGCCAACACUUGCAGGAGAAUCUGUGCAAGGAUGACAAGUAGAAGGUUCCCUUCUGCAUGAAAAGGAACAUAUAGUGGGGAAAGAGGAGAGAACAGAAGGCAUUUCUUCUUUGUUUUGUGACCUUAUAUGGAUUCUUCAUCGGAUUCCAUAACUGCAGGAACAUGCAAUGUAUCAGUGAUGCAGAUGGCGAUGACAAAGACUGUCAGGUAGGAGAGUUGUGACAAAACUGUGCUCUUGAGGAACCUGAUUCCCUGGCUCCCCGUGGAAUUAUCCCUUGUGGUUGUAUUCUCAUCAAAUGGAAACCAUGUUGUGUAUGGAGGUAGAUACCUAGAAGCAAUAAUGAGCAGAAUUUGAGACAAGAACAGCUGAAAAAAUGUACUUCUACUCAAAGUUUCGGAACACGACUGCUUUACUGCAACGAAACUCAGGUGUGUGCAUGCAGUUUUGUACUAAGGCGGAUCUAAAACCACUGCGUCAUGUAGCAUAUCUUCUGUUUUCUCUUUGGAUGCCAAAACUAGACAACAGGUCAGCUAAGGUGAUGUAACUCGGCCUCGAUGAACACUCUGGUGCCUUGAUUUAUCCUCAGCAACAGCAAAUGAAGUGACAAGAAGAUGGGAACUGUGGCUGAAUUGAAAUUACGUUUGACUGCUCGUGGCCGCAUAGUGGCAUGAACCACUGAUAUGAAUGGACUUUAGAGAACAAUAUGAGAAUGGCUUAGAAACAUGCAAUAUCUACUAAAAAUCCUUGUCAGUGAAAAACUUCGGUGCUAACUAUAAUUGGCAGAAGAUCAUUGGGAAAAAAUCUUAUUGCUUUCCAAAUGUCAACUUAAAUGCUUUGUUUUAGUGUA